CCUACGGGUGGCAGCAGUGAGGAAUAUUGGUCAAUGGACGAGAGUCUGAACCAGCCAAGUAGCGUGAAGGAUGACUGCCCUAUGUGUUGUAAACUUCUUUUAUAUGGGAAUAAAAUGUUCCACGUGUGGGAUUUUGUAUGUACCAUAUGAAUAAGGAUCGGCUAACUCCGUGCCAGCAGCCGCGGUAAUACGGAGGAUCCGAGCGUUAUCCGGAUUUAUUGGGUUUAAAGGGAGCGUAGGUGGAAUGUUAAGUCUGUUGUGAAAGUUUGCGGCUCAACCGUAAAAUUGCAGUUGAAACUGGCAGUCUUGAGUACAGUAGAGGUGAGCGGAAUUCGUGGUGUAGCGGUGAAAUGCUUAGAUAUCACGAAGAACUCCGAUUGCGAAGGCAGCUCACUGGACUGCAACUGACACUGAGGCUCGAAAGUGUGGGUAGCAAACAGGAUUAGAUACCCCAGUAGUC
rnacentral:rRNA from 1 species